GACAUCGGAAGGCCUGUCAGGUAUGACACGAGCUCAAGGGACGGGAUCAGCAGGGCCAGGUCGUUCCUGAAGCACUACGCGAACCCUCUGGAAGACUGGGUCCAGUACUGGCCACUGCACCCUCCAUCAUACAGGUAAUUAACCUGCAAAAAAAAACAAACAAACUGCACAUUGUUAUGAAUAUAUACAUCACAAUUGUUUUUGCACCAGCUAUCCUAAUUAGCUAGCUCCGCCAUUCUUUUUCUUGUCUAAAAUGACUGGCAGGAAGAAAAUGGGGGAGUAUGCAGUUGAAAUACAGAGGGUGUCAAUGCAGCUCAUGGACGCUAUCCUGCAAGGUUUAGGGUUAAAGCCGCUGUACAUGCAAGAGAAACUUGACAAGGGAGUGCAGUUCCUGGCCCUGAACAGCUACCCACAGUUCUCACAUCGAGGUGACAAGGUCGGACUGGCUCCUCAUUCCGACUAUGGCUUCCUCACAAUCCUGAUGCAGAGCUCCCCGGGGCUGGAAGUGAUGCCCCAUGACCGUGACACCUGGACGCCCGUCCCCGCGAUCCCCGGGGCCCUCCAUGUCCAUGUUGGGGACCACCUAGAAGUCUUGAGCAACGGUCGUCUCAAGUCCCUUGUCCACCGAGCCAUUCUCAACCCUGAUGAAGCAAGAAUUUCCAUUGCCAGCAUCCAUGGUCUCUCCAAGGAUGAGAAGGUCUGCUGCGCCGAGGAGCUGGUCGACGAGGUGAACCCAGCAAUGUACAGGGAGAGCAGCUUCCAGGACUUCCUCGACUUCCUACCGUCAAAUAUCAACAACUACAAGAGGUUUGUUGAGAGCCUCAAGAUCGACAGAGCUUGAGAAGAAAAGCAUUGGUUCGGUUCCGCUGCACCAGAACAUAGCUAAAUGGCAUUCUUCAGAUACGAAUGGAAAGCCAGAUGAUACCAAAAAUAAUAAUAAAAGAUUGGAUGUCUUUCAAUUAAUAGGGUAUUGUGAUGAGAAGACGGGUCUAUAUGGCUUGCAGCAUUGCUACAUUGAAGAUACAGAUUCAUAUAGACAUAGCAAGCACAUUGGCGCUGCUAUGUGUAUUCUGCAGAGCAGGUCUGUCCAAGUGAUAUCGAUGUCUCUCUGCAAAUUAAAGAGUCUAGUUCUACAUCCUUAGUACUAAAAUGCUCAUUUAACUAUGUCCAAAUGGAGGAGAGCCGGCCGGCUAUGUACUGUUGCGUUGUACCAUAUGUGUAGCGUGUAUCUCUUGUUACUACUACUAGUCUACUACUGUAUCUGCAGUGUAUAUGCAGUCAAUAAUCGCUGCAGGUAAGGUAAGGUAAGGUAAUGUAUCAGUAGAGCUGCACCCGCACUCAGCCUGGCUGCAUCAAGCUGGACUGAGGUCCCUUUUUUUUCUCCUUUUCUUUCUUUGGGGAAAUGCAUUGUGGCUGCAUGUCUCUUUCACUAAAAGGAGGACCUGGGGAACCUUGCUAGGUUUUUCAGGUUGUUUGGUCCUACACUAUGUGUAUACCAAUCUUGUAUCAGCUACCCAAUAAAUAAAGUCUAAUAACUAUUGCAUGAGAUUUGCUGCCCACCAUAUGUCCAUAUCAUCAUAGCAUACAUUGGAAAGGUUUUUCAGUUAUCUGAAAAAAACAAAAGAGAAGUGUGUGGAGAUCCAUGAAAAGAUUGACCAGCAUGAUUGAGGACACGACCCGUUUAUGUAUGUGCUUGUGCUUGUGCUCGUGCAGUCGUGCUUGUGAGCUUGUCCUUACUGUCAGCGGUAUUGGCCGACAGAGCAAAAGUAGAUGUAAACCUGAGAAGAAGAAGAAGAAAAAAGAGGAGGUGGGCAAUGCAACGAGAAAGAGAAGUGCGAUGGUACACGGCACAUAUAUAAGGGUCAUUUUCAUGCAGUCCCUAUUAGCCAAUAAUUCAAGACGGAGAUGUCUGUUUCAGCUGCAGAAAUUCAACAAAAGCUGCUUGCAGCUACAGAGGGCAAAAAAAAAAGGAUCAGCAAAUGAUCAGAUCAUGAAGGCACAUGAAAGUUCAAAUUGAACUGCAACCAAAUCCAUAUGGCAUGACACAUCUUUUAUUGGUUGAAAAUGAGCAGAGGACUGACGAAGUGUCAAUUUUAUUUUAUUUUAGUCAGUUAUUUUAGUCUAGAAUGAGCUCCCCCACCUGAAUGUUGUGGUGUUUACCUUUGCUGAUUGCUAAGACUUGGGCCCUUGGGCAAGGCCCAAAAACUAAAAGAAGAAGAAGAAGAGUGUCUAUUUUAUUUUCCAGAUCCAGGAUGAGCCUGCCCAGCCUUCGUUGAAAGAGAUUAUCUGCUUGGAUCUGGAAGGACAGGGCUGGAAGGGAACCCAUUCUUCUUCAGUUUGACUUGACUGCGCGGAGCAUUUAUCCAUUGCAAAGUCACAUCUGACAUCUCAUGGUGGGAGGUAAGUAUGAUACACACCUAUAGUUGUUUCCUUUUUUACUUUCCCUUUUCCUAAAAUCCAAUGAUUAUAUUUUCAUAGGGUAUAUCUGCAAAUUUCUUAAUAACAUUAAUUUGCUGCUAGAAAAAAAAAGGAACAACAAAACAAUUUGAGUUUAAAAAACAGGAAGGUCAAUGUGAAAAGAAAAGACAAGGAGGUAGCACUCUUAGAACAAAAUUCGUUUGGGUACUCACAAAAUACAAAAACCAAACCAAACCAAUUCUCCUGUGACAAUGAAUGAAGAAUACAUUAAAAGGGGAAGAGGUUUCUUUUUAGCACACGCGGGACACGCACGCGCGUGUGGCGACGUGGCAGUCUGCAACUCGUCAGACGACCCCGCUAGUUCUGCAACUGCCAACGAGGUGAGGAGAAAGGUGGAUCGCACGAAAUACAAGCCAGAACCGGAACACUGAUUCCUCAGGAAACCCUAGGCCAAACCAAUCGCAAUUAACGAGAGCUCACGCCGGCACCGGCAUUACUGAGAAAAUGGAGAGGAGAACGAAGCAGCGGUCGAGCAAGCAGCAGGUGCGGAGGGGCGCUGAGCUGAGGCUGACUGACCAGUACGCGGAUGGGGGGUGCGGUGCAGGCUCGGACGACCAGCCGCAUCGGCGUCAUGUCCGCCGCGCCCGCUGCUCUGCUUCCUCCUCCUCUCCGCGCCCGGAGGGAUGGAUUGGAUAUGGGUCAGGCUCCCGCUCCGCGCCUCCGCCCCGCCCUUUUUAUAGGCGUCGUCUUGGCCCUUCCGGCGUCUCCGCUCUGGUAG
rnacentral:lncRNA from 1 species